rnacentral:rRNA from 1 species
UCUGGAUUAUCAGGGUAUAAUAUAAUAUUAUUUUCGUUUACGUUGAAAGUUUUUUUGUGUAAUUCAAAAUGCCUUGAUUUAUUAUUAAUUAAUUUUUUUUUAUUGUUUAUCUAUAUGUAUAUUUAGUUAGUUUUUUUUAUUUUUGUUUUAUUAAUUAAUUUUGAAAUGCUUUUUUUUUAUUAUAGUUUAUUUUUAAUGUAAGUGUUUAUUUUUAUUAUUUUAUAAGGAUAUUUUUAUAGUACCUUUUGUAUCAGGGUUUAUUAAAUAAUUAAUUUUUAUUUAUUUUUCUCGAAUUGGAAUGAUCUAUUUUAAUAUGACUUUUUAUGUUUUAUAAUGAUUUUAAAUUUUAUUAUAGUAGUGAUAUGCUAUUCGUUUUCUAAUAUAUCUAGUUUUCUGAGUUUAAAUUUAAUUUUAAAGAAUUUUUGAAUUAUAUUUUUUAUUUAUUAUAUGAUUUUUAAUUUUUUUUUAUUUUCUAAGGGAUAAGCUUUAGUUUAUUAUUUAUAAUUUUUAUUAUUUUAUUUUUUAUUAUAGGCUUGUAAUCAGCCAUUAUUUAAAUUACGUUUUAGUUUAAUUAGAUUGUUUAUUAUUUAUUAUUUUAUUUAAUUUUGUUAUUGGAAUAUUGACUAUAAUUUAUUUUGUUUAUUAAUAAUGAUGUAAUUAGUAUAUUUAUUUUGUUUUUUUAUUAUUAUUUGUUAAUUAAUAUAAAGGAAUUCGGCAAAUAUUAUAUUGUUUCCGCCUGUUUAUCAAAAACAUCUCUUAUAGUAUAAUAAUUAUAAGUAGGACCUGCUCACUGAAUUUUUAAAGAGCCGCGGUAUAUUGACUGUGCAAAGGUAGCAUAAUCAUUAGUGUAUUAAUUGUUUACUGGAAUGAAAGGUUUGACGAGAAACGUACUGUCUCUGUAUUAUAUUUAGAAUUUUACUUCCUAGUAAAAAGGCUGGGAUUUUUUUUUGGGACGAUAAGACCCUAUAGAGUUUAAUUUUAUUAUUUUUAAUUAUUUUGUGUUUGAAUUUUGUUAUUAACUUUAUUAAAAUUUUGUUGGGGUGAUGUGAGUAAUAUAUAAACUAUUCAUUUAUUUUUAUCAUUGAUUUAUGUAUAUUUUUGAUCCUUUAUUAUUGAUUAAAGAUCAAACUACCUUAGGGAUAACAGCGCAAUUAUUUUUAAGAGUUCUUAUUGACAAAAUAGAUUGUGACCUCGAUGUUGGAUUAAGAUUAUUUUUUUGGUGUAGUUGCUUUAA